rnacentral:rRNA from 1 species
CCCUUAGAUGUUCUGGGCUGCACGCGCGCUACACUGGUGCGUUCAGCGAGUUUAGCACCUUAACAGAUAUGUUUGGGUAAUCUUCUGAAAACGCACCGUGAUGGGGAUCGAUUAUUGUAAUUAUUAAUCGUCAACGAGGAAUUCCUAGUAAGUGCGAAUCAUCAGUUCGCGCUGAUUACGUCCCUGCCCUUUGUACACACCGCCCGUCGCUGCUACCGAUUGAGUGGUCCGGUGAAUUAUUCGGACCGGUGGACUGUGGGGAAACCCGCGGCCUGCUGGGAAGUCUUGUGAACCUUAUCACUUAGAGGAAGCAGAAGUCGUAACA